GACGAACGCUGGCGGCGUGCUUAACACAUGCAAGUCGAACGGAAAGGCCCUGCUUUUGUGGGGUGCUCGAGUGGCGAACGGGUGAGUAACACGUGAGUAACCUGCCCUUGACUUUGGGAUAACUUCAGGAAACUGGGGCUAAUACCGGAUAGGAGCUCCUGCUGCAUGGUGGGGGUUGGAAAGUUUCGGCGGUUGGGGAUGGACUCGCGGCUUAUCAGCUUGUUGGUGGGGUAGUGGCUUACCAAGGCUUUGACGGGUAGCCGGCCUGAGAGGGUGACCGGCCACAUUGGGACUGAGAUACGGCCCAGACUCCUACGGGAGGCAGCAGUGGGGAAUAUUGCACAAUGGGCGGAAGCCUGAUGCAGCAACGCCGCGUGCGGGAUGACGGCCUUCGGGUUGUAAACCGCUUUCGCCUGUGACGAAGCGUGAGUGACGGUAAUGGGUAAAGAAGCACCGGCUAACUACGUGCCAGCAGCCGCGGUGAUACGUAGGGUGCGAGCGUUGUCCGGAUUUAUUGGGCGUAAAGGGCUCGUAGGUGGUUGAUCGCGUCGGAAGUGUAAUCUUGGGGCUUAACCCUGAGCGUGCUUUCGAUACGGGUUGACUUGAGGAAGGUAGGGGAGAAUGGAAUUCCUGGUGGAGCGGUGGAAUGCGCAGAUAUCAGGAGGAACACCAGUGGCGAAGGCGGUUCUCUGGGCCUUUCCUGACGCUGAGGAGCGAAAGCGUGGGGAGCGAACAGGCUUAGAUACCCUGGUAGCCCACGCUGUAAACGGUGGGUACUAGGUGUGGGGUCCAUUCCACGGGUUCCGUGCCGUAGCUAACGCUUUAAGUACCCCGCCUGGGGAGUACGGCCGCAAGGCUAAAACUCAAAGGAAUUGACGGGGCCCCGCACAAGCGGCGGAGCAUGCGGAUUAAUUCGAUGCAACGCGUAGAACCUUACCUGGGUUUGACAUGGAUCGGGAGCGCUCAGAGAUGGGUGUGCCUCUUUUGGGGUCGGUUCACAGGUGGUGCAUGGCUGUCGUCAGCUCGUGUCGUGAGAUGUUGGGUUAAGUCCCGCAACGAGCGCAACCCUUGUUCACUGUUGCCAGCACGUUAUGGUGGGGACUCAGUGGAGACCGCCGGGGUCAACUCGGAGGAAGGUGGGGAUGACGUCAAGUCAUCAUGCCCCUUAUGUCCAGGGCUUCACGCAUGCUACAAUGGCUGGUACAGAGAGUGGCGAGCCUGUGAGGGUGAGCGAAUCUCGGAAAGCCGGUCUCAGUUCGGAUUGGGGUCUGCAACUCGACCUCAUGAAGUCGGAGUCGCUAGUAAUCGCAGAUCAGCAACGCUGCGGUGAAUACGUUCCCGGGGCU
rnacentral:rRNA from 1 species